rnacentral:sRNA from 1 species
UUGCAGAAAUAUGUUGUUUUAAUUUUUGAUCGAAUCACAAGACUUGUUUUCUCUGAGAUUAUGAAUUUCUGGAGAAAAAAACCCAGUGGAUUAAACAUGGUGUAAAUGUAGAAGGUUUUCCCCAAUGCGUCAUUUCUGACUUUGUUAUCACCUGUGAUGCUCAAAUUGAUUUGUUAUUUAAGCUCUGCUGUAAACACAUUCCUUUUUUCAAAGGGGUUUUAUUUUGUCAUUAAAAAGAACAAAUAUGAAUUACAAUAUUGUUCAGUCAUAAAAUGAGGCUGUGACAUUGUAAAACAAAGCUUUUUUACUCUGAAAAUUGCACAAACGCUAGGCCAGUUAAAGCAACUUUUGUGUGGUGACCCAUUCAUAAAGUAGAAGCCAUGUUUCUAUUUUAUUUUUUUUGGGGGGGGGGGGCAUACAAUUGUAUGUGUUUCUACAUAUAAUACAGUAUGCUCCGAUUUCUUUCUUUCACCUCAGACCAGUGUUUGUUUGAUACUGGCGGACCAUUCCAUUCGUUUUCUCUUCAAAUAGGGUAUUAUCAUGUAAGUGCACUGUAUAUGAGAUGUUUUUGAAUGGGAACAAUUAAGUGCAUUAAAAGAAGAACAGAAAAGUU